GCCAAACCAGAUCCCUUCGCCGCCGCCCUCGCCCUCGCAGCCGCCGCCGAUCCCCGCCCCAUCUUCCUCCCUCAAACGCUAACCCAAUGACCAUGAGUGUGCCGCCCCCUCCUUCCACCCAUCUCGCGAUGCGCUGCCGCCCGUCGCGGCCGCCCACGCCACCUCUGUCGCGGCCGCCCCCGCCACCUCCCGUCGCGGCCGCCGCCCCAGCUCCAGCCGCAGCCUUCGCGCCCACGUCCCACCGCGGUCGCUGCCCUGCGCGCAAAUGACCCCUUCCCCCGCCCCAGCCGCCAUCGCAGAUCCCUCCACCGCCGCCGAUCUAUUUGCUAGAGCCAUAUGACCAUAUGAUCCCUCUACCACCUCAUCUCGUGCUCCUGACAUGCCGAGGGGGCGAGAGGAGUAAGAGAGCAGGGACGAGUGCGCAGAGGAGGAAGAUGCCUGCCGUGAAGCUGCCAAGCGAGAAGACAGAGGAGGAGCGAUACUUGCGGAGGCGGCCGAGAUCGGGUACUACAUCUUCUUAGAUCUUCGCCGUCGUCUAGGUCAGGCCUCCCUCAGAUGCCUUGAUCCUCCAUCAUCAGGUUCUCCAUCUUCUUAGAUCUCACCCUUCCGUACCCAAUCGGCCAAUCCUCUCGAAUCGCAUCUCACCUGUCUCUGGCGAUGACUCCGGCCUGACAUCUCACCUCUCACAGUAUCCUCUCAUCUCUCUCCCGGGGAUGCCCUGCACUCUCCUCUCUAUGUCUGCUAGCGGUGGCGGCGGCCGGAAAUAGAGGGGACCAGUGGCAACGUGGAAUGGUACCCAGGGGCGUUCUGGUACAGCGCGAGAGGAAGCAGAUGAAUGUGCCACAUGUGAGAGGGAGAGGUCUGUAAUGGUAUCUGGUGGUGGCCUCUUGAAAAGAACCCAAGAUUCUCACUAAUAUCCUGUAGCUUGCUGUGUUCUUCGGGCUCUCUCAAACGACAAGAAGAUGAGUUACAGCGAAUUAUACGUCUCACCCCAUUGUUUGUACAAUGGUAUCCACUUUGAGUAGUAGUGUUGUGGGUUGUGGCUAACUGGCUAUGUGAAUUUGUCAGUGAUUUUGCUAGCUUUGAUGUGUUUCGGUUGGAUGAAAUGGAGUGUGUCGGUGCAGGUGCGAUGCAUCCGAUUGAGUAUAGGAGGACCGAGGACAUGUGGUGAGGCGUUGUGCCCUGUGGCACAACGACAAGGGUGCGCACAAGCUGACCAGCGUCUAGCUCCAUGGCCUCAUCAAUGACAGAACCAGAGGAACAAAUGAUCGUCAAUGGUGCACUAAACCAUGAGAGUGCGGCGCCUUCUGUGUUGUGGACAUGGCAUGGGCUGUCUUCUGUCCACUGCUGUGUUCUUGCUGCCAUUCCGCGGUAUAUUGGAGUGUUUCAUCCUAAUAUAUGUCUGGUUACAUGACCACAAAGAGAUAGAAGGAUAUGAUGUAAGCAAACGUGGACACUCAAGAAGAAGCUGGAAAAUCAGGAUUGGAACCAACGAGGAAAUCUGAAAGCAUAGACCAUGUUUAAGAACUGGCUGUUUUUGUUGUGCUAUUUUUAAGAAACAGGAUUUGUCUCGAAGGAAAUGAAGCUUACCAACAAGGAAAUUAUGGUGAUGAGGCACUUUUCUCCACCCUUGGCAAUACAGAGGUACUCAACUCCAACCCUAUCCAAGAAGCGGAAUAUAUCAUACUCUAGAGUUUGGACUUUAGACAUAUUUUAUCCUUUUAUUAUACUCAUGAUCGUUUUGGAAAACAUAUGCAAUUGAAAUGUUAUGUAUUGUGCUUUUGCUUGUUCAAGGGACCUCCUAAUGACACACGAUGGAAACGGAUCCGUGGAUUAAUUCAGAUGGCAUUAAUUGGAGAGAAGGGAUCUAGCUAGGUUUGCAAUGGCAUGUGUACUACCAAAAAAUAACAUCCUCAGGGCAUCAGGGGUGGCACACGCGUCCCACUUGGUGGCGGUGACAGAUCGGCAAGAACAAGGGUGGGGUUGUAUUAAGGAGGAGAGCGGGGCGGUUGGCGAGGGACUCCUCCUUGGCGGUCCGUGGGGAAGUAAGGUGAGGUGGAUCUCAUUACUAGAGCCAUAUGACCAAAAAGAUGAUAGGAAAGGCUCUUUCCAAGCAUACAAGCAUAAGGUCAAGUUUAUUUCUUAAUAUAAUUUGGCCAGUCUGAGACCCAAUACCUUUGUUCUGCAUAGAUUUCUCAUACUAAUUCUGCCAUCGAUUAGGAGUGAAAUCACCAUGACAUUUCCAAGCUUUGUCUUUGAUGCUCGGGUCGAUGAUACCUGAAAUUCUUAGGAGUUCUUUCGAAUCAAAACAGUAGAAUGUAAGCUUGUGGUGACUUUGUGAAGUUUUGGCAUUGGACCGUUUGAAACUUUAGAUUGGCAGAGAGCUAGAGACCCUGGUGGUCUGAAGGAUGUUAAAUUUGAGAACACAAAUUAUUGUUGUUAAAUAAUCUUUGUUUCCUUCAUUUGGAAAAGUUAGCGUUGUUGGGAGUUUGAUAUUGCAGAGCUAGGAACCGGCGAGGUAGGCCACAUCGUUGACGACGACUGUCAUGGCCUCCACUUGUGCCCUCAUGCAGGUGGACUGCUGGUCAUUGAUGGAGUCGGGCUCUUGCAGCAAAAUCUAUGAUAUUCUCUGGAAGCUGCAGGUAGGCCAAGCUGUUCAUGAAGAUCCGAUGAUGACCACCAAGGUAUGCCCUCCUCUCCUUGCCCUUGGGCUGCCAUCUCUGAUCAGGUUGUAAUCUGCUGGUGCAGUGUUGCUCUGCUUUGAUUUGGGAAUUCCUAUGGGAUCUAUUUUUGAUUGGCCAAAGCUGGUUUGUUUGCUGCCGUUUGGUUUAACAUGAUGCUAUAAUGCGCUACACACAAAUAUGUUAUUCCAGUACAAGUGGCCGGUCAGUUAAUUUGAGGAUUUUUUGCCUUUUGUUCUUCAGGCCUAUAGUGUGUGGUUUCAUUCCGACAGUUAAAACUUGCAUUGGCUUGUUAAACUUCAUGUGACCGGAUCAGUAGGGGAGGAUGAUCACAUAUGGAAAAUACUGCUCCAUGGUACUAAAAUCUGUUAUAGGUGUAGGAAGUCAAUGCUAGGAACUCCUGGGAUGUGCUAAUGCAUGCUUGGUCUGAACCUUUUCUUUUCAAUCAGUUGAUGAACCGAUGACCUCAGAUCAUGCUGUAUGUAUACUCCACUACGUACGGAUAGCCCGCUCGUCGUAUCUUGACAUAGUGAAAUCAACUUUGAUCGAUGGAGAUGGAUUUCUUCCCUGUUGGUGCAAUUGUAUGUUCACGUGGUUCUUUCAGGUCCUUUUUCUCUCUAGCUUCUUGAUGUUUUCCUUAUCCGGUGUAAUUUAGUUGCCAUUUGUAAUAGUCAAAUUUUCAUGUCAAAUAUGACUUGAAGAUUUUCUAUGCCAAUUGACAUGUCAUUUAUUUUCUAAUUAACCUAUUGUUGAUGGUGUCUGAUCUCCUUUCUGACAUAUUCCAAGAAUAAGUUCUCAUGUUCAGUAAAUGCAAUUCGGUUGAUUAUUCUGAAUUAUUGCAUUAGGUUAUUAUGAUUUAAUUGUACUUAAAUUUUGUUUUGCACAGGUAUACAAACAACAAUAUAACAACUCUAGAAAUCUACAUCUUAAUACUGCCCUAUUUUCGCGGAUUAUAAUCUCCAGGCUGGAAUCAACAAGCCCACAUAAUCUUCAGUCUUCCACAAUUAUGUUUUGCUUCAUGUUCUAUGAUCAGGUUGUAAUCUGCUGGUGCGGUGCUGCCCUGCUUUGAUUUGGGGAUUCAUCUGGGAUCUAAUUUUGACAGAACAAAGCUGGUUUGUUGGCUGCUGGCUGGUGUCACCUGAUGGUACUGUGCUACGGAGACUCGGAGAGAGAUGUUUUUCCAGCAAUAGAAGUGGCCAGUUAGUUAAGUUGAGGAUUUGUUCCAUCUCUUCUUCAGGCCUGUAGCUUGUGGUUUCAGUCAGAUAGUUAAAGUCGCAUUGUCUUGCAACAGCGAGUGACUGCUGGGUUAACUGUUUGUGGUUUCAGUUGGAUAGUUAAAGUUGCAUUUUCAGUCGGACACAUGUUUGUUUUUUUUCCUGCUUUUUUCUUCACUGCACACUCCCGCCGUUCGUUGUCGUGCAAUGUUGAAGUUAUUCAUGCGGUGGGGUGGAUGGAAGUUAGUACCAGACUAGCACUUUGGUUGUCCCUGUUUGGUGAUAAAAAUGCUUUGACUGAAUAUUGAAUCAAUAAUGUUUCUUUUCAGCAAUCCUUCUGCUAUUGCCACUGCUUCCAUUCAUCAAGAUAUCUGUCCAUGCAUAUCUUCUUGAUGAACAGACAUAAAACCUUGGAUGCCCAUAAAUAUGUUAGGUAAUAUCCAUCCACGGAUAUUCUCAAAGACAGCGGCGGGGGGCAUAUGAUGAAGGAUUUGCCAACAAGGGGGUUCUCGUCAAUUACCCCGUUUGCUGAAGAUGCAUUCAACAAAGAAGAUAAUUGUGGGGAAUUUUUGCAGUGCUCAAUGCGAUUUUCAAUAUGAGCCAUCUCGAGUCUGAAGUCCAAACCAUGCAACCUCUUUCGGACUAUGAAAAUAUGAGCCGCUGGGCUUCCUUCCAAUUGGUUGGUGCCUCAAGAAGCCUCAAAUAGGGUGGAAGACUAAUUUGAGCUUCGGUUUUGUUGGCAAAUCGAGGGGAGGAGAAAUCAAAGUCAUGGAGAAAAAAUUCGACCCUAGGCCCCAUGGCCUCGAGUUGUGUGCAUGUGUGGUGCGACAAAUUGGCGCCCAUUAGGCGGCGAUUAGACACUAAGUGGUCAUGCGGGGACAUGUGAGGGACCCAUCCUACCUCAAUGGAAAAACAGUGGAACAAGUCCAUGACAUUUGAUGUCAAUUGCGAGAGGUAGUAUCAUGGACAAAUGUACAUGGUUAUUAUUGGGCUAGGAACUUGUGUUAUUUUUUUCCCGUUGCAACGCACAGGCAGUUUUCCUAAUAAUAUUAAAUUCCUACCCUUCAUAACUUGUAUUUUUUGACGAUAAGUAAGUUCCUAAGUCUAUGUUACGUUUAAGUUAAAAGUACAAUGUCGAUGUGGGCCAUACAUACACCGAUUAAUAAAGCGGUUAGUACUUAAAUUGACCAUCAUGUCCUAUGUGCCUUAGGGUUAAGUUUUAAUCUCCACCAUUGACUCUCUUAAGGUGGGUAUACUGAAGCAGACCCCUUAUAAUUAUGAAUGGUUUAUAAAGUUGAAGGAUGAAACUUGAACGAACACAAUGCUGAGGUUUGUAAAGUGGAGCCAAAGACAAGUUCGAGUGAGAAAUAUGUACUUCUCUCAAACUAUAUUAUCAGAUGACAACGAGGGCCUUGAAGAUGAUGAAAAUGAGUUUCUCAUGGUUCUAUUUUGUUGUAG